rnacentral:lncRNA from 1 species
ACUGUAUACCAGGUAAUCCUACCCCUCCUCUCCAAGACUCACCUGUACUGUAUACCAGGUAAUCCUACCCCUCCUCUCCAAGACUCACCUGUACUGUAUGCCAUGUAAUCCUACCCCUCCUCUCCAAGACUCACCUAUAGUAUAUACCAAGUAAUCCUACACCUCCUCCAAGACUCACCUGUAGUAUAUACCAGGUAAUCCUACCCCUCCUCCAAGACUCACCUGUAGUAUAUACCAAGUAAUCCUAACCCUCCUCUCCAAGACUCACCUGUAGUAUAUACCAGGUAAUCCUACCCUCCUCUCCAAGACUCACCUGUAGUAUAUACCAGGUAAUCCUACCCUCCUCUCCAAGACUCACCUGUAGUAUAUACCAGGUAACCCUGCCCUCCUCUCCAAGACUCACCUGUAGUAUAUACCAGGUAACCCUGCCCUCCUCUCCAAGACUCACCUGUAGUAUAUACCAGGUAACCCUGCCCUCCUCUCCAAGACUCACCUGUAGUAUAUACCAGGUAACCCUGCCCUCCUCUCCAAGACUCACCUGUAGUAUACACCAGGUAACCCUGCCCUCCUCUCCAAGACUGUUUGCCAAGUGUGUACAAUGCAGUCAACAUUCAUUCAAGCAUCAAGUGGCUAAUUUGACAUCUAAGAUUAGUAGCCACAACAAUCAGACGUUGUAAUAAUUUUUGUAAACAAUAGAAUACCUAGAAUAGAUACUUUUCCUUUAAUUCGCAAGAGACUUAAUGUAUACAUUAACCUGUAUAUAGCCUGGUUAUUGAUAUUUUGUUGUGUUACUUUUGAUUUAAUUUUUUACUUUAGUUUAUUUAGUAAAUAUUUUCUU